rnacentral:lncRNA from 1 species
UUGUGUACACAUUUUUAUGUCCAUUUUGAAUUUCCUUCAAUAAUUACAUUCAUAAAUUAUUAUUUAUUCUUAUAAUGAUCUUUACAAAUUAUCCAUCUACUUAUAUUAUAUUUUUUUAUUUUAAACAACCACGAAAGAACAGUUAGACUGAGUGCCUGUUCUCCCAGUUAUUAUCUAAUAAUAUUAUAAUAGAGAUAUGUUUUUCUAUUUUAGAAAAAAAAAAUCAUUAUCCAGCCCCUUUUUAUCUCCAAUGAAACUCAUUUGUUUGUGAUCGGACGACAAAAAUUCCUUAUUAAAGUGAGCCGUUUGAGUUGGUAACGUCGUGCAUUGAAGUGGCUCAAAACAACACCAGAAGCACAAAGUAAUCUUUCGGACUUUCACCUCAGACCACAAACCUGUGCCAUAAUGUCUCACAUCAACUAGUAAGUAUCAAGAAGACCACGUAUAUUAUAUAAAAAUGUGGAGGAAUCUCACAUGCUCAAAAUGAGAAAAUGAAUAGCUGUCAUAGUAGGGGAAAAAAAAGAAGAAAAAAAUGAAAUUUGAAUCGAGGGUCGCAUUUUAUACUUCUCAAAGCAACAACAUAUCCUCAUGGAUCCCCUGUUGUAAAGCAUAGGGUGUGCCAUUAUACCAUAGAGAAGAUAGAAGAUCCUUCUCUAAUAUUAUUCCCCUAAUAUGAAAAAUCACAUCCUCCACUUCUUCAAAAACACCCUUUAGCUUUUCCCCCCUUACCUUUUGGAAUGGAAGUGGGUGUGAAUGGACCUCUUUAUAUGACCCAUGAUAUAUAAACUAGAAUCUCUAUUCCUCAUACAC